rnacentral:rRNA from 1 species
UACGAAGGGUGCAAGCGUUAAUCGGAAUUACUGGGCGUAAAGGGUGCGUAGGCGGUUGUUUAAGUCUGUCGUGAAAUCCCCGGGCUCAACCUGGGAAUGGCGAUUGAAACUGGGCAGCUAGAGUGUGUCAGAGGAUGGUGGAAUUCCCGGUGUAGCGGUGAAAUGCGUAGAGAUCGGGAGGAACAUCAGUGGCGAAGGCGGCCAUCUGGGACAACACUGACGCUGAAGCACGAAAGCGUGGGGAGCAAACAGG